GAUGAACGCUAGCUACAGGCUUAACACAUGCAAGUCGAGGGGAAACGAUAUUGGAAGCUUGCUUCCGAUAGGCGUCGACCGGCGCACGGGUGAGUAACGCGUAUCCAACCUGCCCACCACUUGGGGAUAACCUUGCGAAAGUAAGACUAAUACCCAAUGAUAUCUCUAGACGACAUCUGAAAGGGAUUAAAGAUUUAUCGGUGAUGGAUGGGGAUGCGUCUGAUUAGCUUGUUGGCGGGGUAACGGCCCACCAAGGCGACGAUCAGUAGGGGUUCUGAGAGGAAGGUCCCCCACAUUGGAACUGAGACACGGUCCAAACUCCUACGGGAGGCAGCAGUGAGGAAUAUUGGUCAAUGGGCGAGAGCCUGAACCAGCCAAGUAGCGUGCAGGACGACGGCCCUAUGGGUUGUAAACUGCUUUUAUAAGGGAAUAAAGUGAGUCUCGUGAGACUUUUUGCAUGUACCUUAUGAAUAAGGACCGGCUAAUUCCGUG
rnacentral:rRNA from 1 species